GAUGAACGCUAGCGGCAGGCUUAAUACAUGCAAGUCGUGGGGCAGCAGGGGUAGCAAUACCCGCUGGCGACCGGCAAACGGGUGCGGAACACGUACGCAACCUUCCUUUAACUGGAGAAUAGCCCCUCGAAAGAGGGAUUAAUACUCCGUAACAUAUUGAUAAGGCAUCUUAUUAAUAUUAUAGCUCCGGCGGUUAAAGAUGGGCGUGCGACUGAUUAGAUAGUUGGCGGGGUAACGCCCACAAGUCUGCGAUCAGUAACUGGUGUGAGAGCACGACCAGUCACACGGGCACUGAGACACGGGCCCGACUCCUACGGGAGGCAGCAGUAAGGAAUAUUGGUCAAUGGACGAAAGUCUGAACCAGCCAUGCCGCGUGGAGGAU
rnacentral:rRNA from 1 species